rnacentral:tRNA from 1 species
AGGGGUUUAGGAUAAUAUUAAACCAAAAGCCUUCAAAGCUUUAAAUAAGAGUGGAACUCUCUUAACCCUUA